CACGUAGGGGGCGAGCGUUGUCCGGAUUCAUUGGGCGUAAAGGGCGCGCAGGCGGCCCGGAAAGUCGGAUGUGAAAACUCGGGGCUCAACCCCGAGCGUGCACCCGAUACUGCCGGGCUUGAGGCAGGUAGGGGAGAUCGGAAUUCCUGGUGUAGCGGUGAAAUGCGUAGAUAUCAGGAGGAACACCGGUGGCGAAAGCGGCUCACUGGACCGUUACUGACGCUGAGGUGCGAAAGCGUGGGGAGCGAACAGG
rnacentral:rRNA from 1 species